rnacentral:rRNA from 1 species
GACGAACGCUGGCGGCGUGCCUAAUACAUGCAAGUCGAGCGAGUCUGCCUUGAAGAUCGGAGUGCUUGCACUCUGUGAAACAAGAUACAGGCUAGCGGCGGACGGGUGAGUAACACGUGGGUAACCUGCCCAAGAGAUCGGGAUAACACCUGGAAACAGAUGCUAAUACCGGAUAACAACAGAUGAUGCCUAUCAACUGUUUAAAAGAUGGUUCUGCUAUCACUCUUGGAUGGAUCUGCGGUGCAUUAGCUAGUUGGUAGGGUAACGGCCUACCAAGGCGAUGAUGCAUAGCCGAGUUGAGAGACUGAUCGGCCACAUUGGGACUGAGACACGGCCCAAACUCCUACGGGAGGCAGCAGUAGGGAAUCUUCCACAAUGGACGCAAGUCUGAUGGAGCAACGCCGCGUGAGUGAAGAAGGGUUUCGGCUCGUAAAGCUCUGUUGUUGGUGAAGAAGGACAGGGGUAGUAACUGACCUUUGUUUGACGGUAAUCAAUUAGAAAGUCACGGCUAACUACGUG